AAUUCUCCUGCCUCAGCCUCCCGAGGAGCUGGGACAACAGGCACGUGCGACCAUGCCCAGAAACAGCAGCUGUGAAGCCUGCAAAUUUGAAUAAAAGGAAAGAAGGUGCAAAAGAACACAACUUAAAAGUGGCUUCAGAGGAAAAGCAAGAAAGGCUUGAAAGAAGUGGAAAUAAACAGCCACAGGUAUAUAGCAAUUUAAAUUUCUGGUUUACUAUUGGUUUGUUUGUUUGUUUUUCUUUAAUACCAUGGCAUAGUCCAAAUGAAGUGACCUUUUAGGCUAUCCUUUUAGAAUCCAAAGAGCGUAAUUUCAUAUUGAAUUUUAAAACAUUUUAGCCAGUUACAAAAUUUAAAAUAUUCUUACAGUCUAUAGUAACUCAUAGCUAUCUGUACCCUUGGAUUGAGGCCAGAAAUUUCCAGAAGUCAUUUUGCUCUUUUAUUUUUAUAACCUUCUUCAUGAUGAAGAAAGUGACAUCAGAA